rnacentral:misc_RNA from 1 species
GAUGAAGAACGUAGCGAAAUGCGAUAACUAAUGUGAAUUGCAGAAUUCCGUGAAUCAUCGAGUCUUUGAACGCACAUUGCGCCCCCUGGUAUUCCGGGGGGCAUGCCUGUCCGAGCGUCAUUACAACCCUCAAGCCCGGCUUGUGUAAUGGGCGGCCGUCUCUCCCCCCGGGGGGAGACGCCCCCGAAACUCAGUGGGGAUGUCGCGAUACCGAAGCCUCAGCUAAUGGGUAAACCACAGCUGCAAUGGCCGCGGCCGGCGUCCGCCUUCCACGGUCCGUCCGCCUAGCGCGGGCGGCCUUCUCAAGGUUGACCUCGGAUCAGGUAGGGAUACCCGCUGAACUUAAGCAUACCAAUAAGCGGAGGA